rnacentral:rRNA from 1 species
ACGCUCGACACCUACGGGGGCAGCAGUUAGGAAUAUUGGGCAAUGGAGGGAACUCUGACCCAGCAACGCCGCGUGAAGGAAGAAGGUUUUCGGGCUGUAAACUUCUGAUCUAAGGGAAAAAGAAAGUGAUGGUACCUUAGGAGAAAGCCACGGCUAACUACGUGCCGGCAGCCGCGGUAAUCUGAGCGGGCGUGGCGAAGGC